rnacentral:sRNA from 1 species
ACUGGGCUUGGUGGCGCAUGCCUGUAAUCCCAGUGACUUGGGAGGUUGAGGCAGGGGGAUCACCAGUUCAAGGCCAGUAUGGGCAAUAUAGCAAGACCCUGCCUCAA